GACGAACGCUGGCGGCGUGCCUAAUACAUGCAAGUCGAGCGAAUUUACGAGAGCUUGCUCUCGUAAAUUAGCGGCGGACGGGUGAGUAACACGUGGGCAACCUGCCUAUAAGACUGGGAUAACUUCGGGAAACCGGAGCUAAUACCGGAUAAUUCACAUCUACUCAUGUAGAUGUGCUGAAAGACGGUUUACGCUGUCACUUAUAGAUGGGCCCGCGGCGCAUUAGCUAGUUGGUGAGGUAACGGCUCACCAAGGCCACGAUGCGUAGCCGACCUGAGAGGGUGAUCGGCCACACUGGGACUGAGACACGGCCCAGACUCCUACGGGAGGCAGCAGUAGGGAAUCUUCCGCAAUGGACGAAAGUCUGACGGAGCAACGCCGCGUGAGUGAUGAAGGUUUUCGGA
rnacentral:rRNA from 1 species